rnacentral:rRNA from 1 species
GACGAACGCUGGCGGCGUGCCUAAUACAUGCAAGUCGAGCGAACAGAAAAGGAGCUUGCUCCUUUGACGUUAGCGGCGGACGGGUGAGUAACACGUGGGCAACCUACCCUAUAGUUUGGGAUAACUCAGGGAAACCGGGGCUAAUACCGAAUAAUCUCUUUUGCUUCAUGGUGAAAGACUGAAAGACGGUUUCGGCUGUCGCUAUAGGAUGGGCACGCGGCGCAUUAGCUAGUUGGUGAGGUAACGGCUCACCAAGGCGACGAUGCGUAGCCGACCUGGGAGGGUGAUCGGCCACACUGGGACUGAGACACGGCCCAGACUCCUACGGGAGGCAGCAGUAGGGAAUCUUCCACAAUGGGCGAAAGCCUGAUGGGGCAACGCCGCGUGAGUGAAGAAGGUUUUCGGAUCGUAAAACUCUGUUGUAAGGGAAGAACAAGUACAGUAGUAACUGGCUGUACCUUGACGGUACCUUAUUAGAAAGCCACGGCUAACAACGUGCCAGCCGCCGCCGUAA